rnacentral:snoRNA from 2 species
GAGCGAUGACAGAUUUCUGCGCCAAAGUGAUUGGUUGGGUCCGUCACAGCCGUCUGAUCCUACAGACGAUAUAAGAUGCGCAUCUGAGCUC